AUUCCGAGUAGCGGGAUCCCGCGCAGCCUCAGGGCUGCUGGCAGUGAAAGUGGGGGGAUGGGGGAGGUGUCCAGAGGAAAGACCUGGAGAUCUGGAGAUACAGGACGGUCAGGGUGGUCAGAGAAUUUGGAUCUUUUGCUUGUUGGAAAUCGGGACCGCUCCGAGAAACGUAAGCAGCUCGAUGUUGUUAGUGCCAGUGGAGACACUUGGCACUCACAAUUUGCAUACGUUUGGGAAAGCAUCGUUUCUCAAGAGGACCCCGUUCCCGUGUCUGUAAAUCAGACAUGGUACCCACUUCGUAGUUCGCUGUGAAGCCUGUGAGCGAGGAGGGGCUUUAAAAUACAGAACUUUGCACUGGAGCGCUCCCCGUCCUCGCAGCCUGCUUGGUGUGCAGGUGGUUCCCAGGCGGCUUCUGCUUCCGAAAAGCAGAUCGUCCCUUUAUCUCGAGUCUUCUCCCCGCCUUUCCCUCUUCUCCCUACCCAAUUUGUCUUCUUGGGAACAAAUGACACAUUCAUCAGAGUGGAGAUCCAUAAACGGGACUGGCGAGCCGAAGAUUUAAUUCUGAAGAAUAGGAUCUGCUCUGUGCUUUCAGGUUAAAAAGCUGUAAAUAUCUUUGUAAUUCUACCAGUACUUUGCCCUCUUCUGCCAUCUGAACGCGUGCUCCCUGCUGACCUCAUCGGCUCCCAUAAAGAUACGCCGGGCGUGAUAGUGCACGCCUAUAAAUCCCAGCUACUCGGGAGGCUGCGGCAGAAGAAUCUCUGGAACCUGGGAAGCAGAGGUUGCAGUGAACUGAGAUCACACCACUGCACUCCAGCCUGGACCACAGAGCAAAACUCUGUCUUAAAAAUUAUAUUUUUAAUAAAAAUAAAUAAUAAAUGC
rnacentral:antisense_RNA from 1 species